AGGGAAUAUUGGGCAAUGGAUGCAAGUCUGACCCAGCCAUGCCGCGUGCAGGAAGAAGGUCCUCUGGAUUGUAAACUGCUUUUGUCGGGGAAGAAGAGUCAUCUUGCGAGGUGAUGUGACGGUACCCGAUGAAUAAGCCACGGCUAACUACGUGCCAGCAGCCGCGGUAAUACGUAGGUGGCAAGCGUUGUCCGGAUUUAUUGGGUUUAAAGGGUGCGUAGGUGGUUUGCUAAGUCAGUGGUGAAAGCUGGUUGCUCAACAAUCAAGUUGCCAUUGAUACUGUCAGACUUGAGAGAAGUGGAGGCUCAUGGAAUGGAUGGUGUAGCGGUGAAAUGCAUAGAUAUCAUCCAGAACGUCGAUUGCGAAGGCAGUGGGCUGUACUUUUUCUGACACUGAGGCACGAAAGCGUGGGGAUCAAAC
rnacentral:rRNA from 1 species